GCCUUUAUAGCUCAGUUGGUUAGAGCGCUGCACCGGAAUCGCAGUGCCGUAGGUUCGAUUCCUACCAGAGGAC